UACCUGGACUAUUCUGCCAUCAGUCAUACCGCUUGUCGUCUAGAUUAACCCAUGCCUGUCUAAGUAUAAGCAACUUUGUACUGUGAAACUGCGAAUGGCUCAUUAUAUCAUCUAUAGUUUAUUUGAUGGUUUUUGCUACAUGGAUAACUGUGGUAAUUCUAGAGCUAAUACAUGCAUUCUACCCCCAACUUCUGGAAGGGAUGUAUUUAUUAGAUGCUCUAUCCCCAUCACGACGAAUCUUCACAACAUUACCCACUCCUUCCGGACAAGGAAAGUACUCCUUGGCUCCGAUCAUCUGCCCUAUCAACUGUCCAUGGAAAGAUAGAGGCCUACCAUACCUGCUACUGCCAACGACUAAUAAUGGUUCGAUUCCAGAGAGCCCAUCCUGAGAAACGGCUACCACACUCCAACGAAGGCAGCUAGCUCGCAGAUUACCCACUCCCUCCACAUCGAAGUAGUGACAAUAUGUCACUCUAUCCAGUCUUAUACGUCAUAUACUUGCACUGAUUACAAUUUAAAUCACUUAUCAAUCAACAAUUCCAUCCCAUGUCUGGAGCCAGCAACCUCCCUCAUUCCAACUCCAAUAACGCAUAUUACACUUCUCGCAGUGAAGACCCUCCUACUUGUACCUUGAACCUGAACCUUCCGACCAUCUCACCGCCAGAACUGACUUGCUGGAUCUCUCGUAAGGUGCACAUUUAGUCUCACAGAUAAGCACCACCGAUCUUUACUCUGAAUAGAUUUACAGUGUACAACUACAAGCUCGAUCUCCUCAAUAUCUUAUCCUGGAAUCAUCAUUCUAUGACUAGCGAGAUCUAUCCUGGUGAAUGCUGUCAUCGACGCAAUGACUAAUAGAGACAGACAGUUUCAUCUCUACUCAGAUGCUACUAGUGCACCUCACUGUACCUAUGAUCACUAACUCUACGCAAGCUUCAGCAAAGUAGAUCGCAUGAUCCAUUACAUAAGUCAGGCUAUAAAUACCAGCAUCUAGCGUGCUAUGACUACUCAUAUCUAUGCAGACAAGGAUCUGGUCACCUGAUCUUAUCACUCGAUUCGCACAUAAAAGACUCAAAGUAUUGGCUCCCGGGGG
rnacentral:rRNA from 1 species